AUUGAACGCUGGCGGCAGGCUUAAUACAUGCAAGUCGAGGGACAGCACAGGUAGCAAUACUGGGUGGUAACCGGCAAACGGGUGCGGAACACGUACACAACCUUCCUUUAAGUGGGGGAUAGCCCAGAGAAAUUUGGAUUAAUACCCCGUAAUAUAGUUUGAUGGCAUCAUCGGACUAUUAUAGCUACGGCGCUUAAUGAUGGGUGUGCGGCUGAUUAGAUAGUUGGCGGGGUAACGGCCCACCAAGUCUACGAUCAGUAGCUGAUGUGAGAGCAUGAUCAGCCACACGGGCACUGGGACACGGGCCCGACUCCUACGGGAGGCAGCAGUAGGAAUAUUGGUCAAUGGACGCAAGUCUGAACCAGCCAAGCCGCGUGAAGGAUUAAGGUCCUCUGGAUUGUAAACUUCUUUUAUAAGGGACGAAAAAAGGUCUUUCUAGAUCGUCUGACGGUACCUUAUGAAUAAGCACCGGCUAACUCCGUGCCAGCCGCCGCCGUAACAC
rnacentral:rRNA from 1 species